UACGUAGGGGGCAAGCGUUGUCCGGAUUUACUGGGUGUAAAGGGCGCGUAGGCGGGUUGAUAAGUUAGAGGUGAAAUCCUGCGGCUUAACCGCAGAACUGCCCCUAAUACUGUCAAUCUUGAGUUCAGAAGAGAGAAGCGGAAUUCCAGGUGUAGUGGUGAAAUACGUAGAUAUCUGGAAGAACACCAGUUGCGAAGGCGGCUUCUUGGUCUGACACUGACGCUGAGGCGCGAAAGCGUGGGGAGCAAACAGGAUUAGAAACCCCAGUAGUCC
rnacentral:rRNA from 1 species